CCUAUGAUACCAACCCUCCCUUUAUGAUUUGUCACUGUUCCCAUCAGCGAACCCUUAGGUUGUUCUUGGUUUUUUAAAGGUGUUUUUAAUAUUACUGGCAAUGAGUUAUGUGAAGAACUACUUCCAAAGGAAAAAUGAAUCUGCCUGUGUGUGCAAGAGGUUAUUCAAAAGGUUAAUAAUGAUUCUCUGGUCUUAAGCAAAUCCAUAAAAACAACUUUUUUGGACUUUAAUCCUGAUGAAGGAAAACGAGAUGUCCUCCUUUGGUCUUUGAGAGCUGCUAAGUUACCCUUAAUUCUGCUGGGCUGCAGAGACAUGGAAGGCUGUAUGCUUGAAGAUCUCUUGUCACUUAGGCAUGAAGAAUCUGUGUUCCGUGGUACAAAGUAUCCAUUGUGUUCAGGGGUCUACUGACCACUCUCCUGCCCCUUGCUCUUGCCAGAAAGCCCAUCAAGUCUUUCUGAGCCUCUGAGGUUUCAUGACUGCUGUUUGUUGUUGGGCUUUGUUCUGUAGCUGUGUUCCAGCCUUGCAGUCAGCAGUUAGGCUGGUGCUUUACUGAAUCAGUUGUGCUUUUUUUAAGCCUUUAGCCUGUCUUAUGUUGGGUAUAAACCUGGAUAAAAGGUAUAAAUGACAAAUCUGAUGGGAGCUAUAUCCCAACAGGGUUCUAGAGCUUAAAAUUUCUCCCGUUUGCUUUGAGGUCUGCAUGGGGGCCAGCUGCACCAUGUACUGGCAGCUGAGAGAUUACUGGCAGACACAGGCUUGUUCCUCUCAUGUAAAGCACUGAUGGUGGAAAGACACUGUUGCUCUGGGUUAACCUCGAACCAUCACACUAAUGUUUCAUGAAAAUGUGUGACAAGAAUAAAUUCUAAAUGUUUUAGAUGCACUUGAACCUGACUGAACAUCUGUAUAUUAUCAACAUACUUCGUCCCUAUGGAGCAAGGCAAUAGAUACAUUAAGCAUAGUAACUGGCCAGAAUGGGUAUAACAAUGGGAAGGGGAUUAGAGGCACAUGAACAGGUGAGUGGAAGGUAUCAGUGGCAUAUGUACCCUGAUAUGUGUUGCUUAAAGUAAAGGUGAGAGCUGAGAGAUUUAAGGUCACAUUGGUUUCUGACUGCAAUAUCAACCAGUUGGUUUUUGCUGGUGAGCGGGUCAUGAUACAAUGUCCUGUCGCUGGCUGUUUGGUGGUGACAAAGGCAGUUCUGUGCAUCUGCCUUUCCUCUUCUCAAGUCAUAUGCUGUUUCCUGUAUUUUUCAGAGUCUAAAGGAGGGAGUAAAGGCAAGAAACAAAUGUCUUUGUAGAGUAAUUCCCUACACCAUCACCCUUGCUGCACUUUUUAGACCUCAUUGGGAUGCAGUGCAUGGUCUGGUCUGAGAGACCAGCUGUGUGAAGCUGAGGUUCCACUUCAAGUAACUGAAGUGCAGGCUGCUGCUAAAAACAGCAACACCUUUUCCUUCCUCUACUUUUCCACAACUUCCCUUGUGCCUGGCCAAGGUCCUGUGUGACCAUCACAAAGCAGUCUCGAAACCAGACCAUCAAUCACUAUGUGAAGCUCUUCAGUGCUUCUUGAUUCUGCUUGUCUCUCCACUGUGCUUUUCUACUUCAGUUGGAGCCUUCAGGCACCCUUACUCACAAUAUUCUGACAAAGGUGGCUUCCUAGGCUUGCUCCCAUGCAGCCAGGAAACUUGUGGUUGAGUUGGGGUUGAAUGUGUGUAGCAGCAAAUCUUACAAAGCUGUGAUGUCCUUUAGACUUCUCACAUUGGCAGGCCAGUGCUGUUCUGGGUGUCUGUGCUGACAGACAGAUUCCUUCUGAGCUCAGAGCAUUUGGCCUUGGCCAGAUCGCUGAGUUGGAGCAGAGUCAGGACACUGGGAGACACACGGUCUGUUGGGUCGGGUGGUUGCCAUCUGGAGUGGCAGUACUUGGCCCACUGCAGCAGUGGCUCUCCUCUGAUACCAGGAGUUCCUAUUUCUCACAUCUCCUUUUACAGACAGUUUGGCCCUUCUGUCUCUUGAAUGUAACAAAAUUCAGUAUUUCCACCAGGAGGUAAUGAAGGAACCAGCUUUGUCCUUGGAUUUUGAGACUACUUGGAUCCUUUUGAUCCCUUCAAGGUAGAGUCCCUUACACCUACUUACACUAACAGAAUGCUGUGUUUGCUGCCAGUGCAAGAGUUUAAUUUUAUUUCUGUGUUACAGAGGAGGGCUGUAAGGAGACACUGACUUUUGUGUCCAUUGCUGGAUACAGCAUCAUGUGGUUGAAAUCACCUGGAGCAUAAGCUAGCAGUCUACUAUGGAGACCAACUCCUGAAGCUGGUGAAGACAGUGCAGAACAUCACAUGGCGUUUAUUGGGAAAUGUUUAGAACGUGACUUCUUCCCAGAAUGUUCAGACAAGGCUCUGAGUUAGCACUGCAUGCUGUUGUUGAAAAGCUGAGUCAGCUAAAACCAGCUUGGCAAAACAUAUUGCUUGUUGAAAAAUGUUCUGGCUUAUGCAGUAUUACCAAUGUGAAUGUGUAAGGGGAGGGUUUAAUAAAGUUUUGUGGCUUUUUCCAGAA